rnacentral:tRNA from 1 species
GGGCUGGGGCUCAGCGGUAGAGUGCUCGCCUAGCAUGUGCGCAGCCCUGGGUUCCAUCCUCAGCACCACA